UUGGGUGAUGAUAUACCGACUCCGGAAAGGCAUUCCUCGACCUGAAUAUACAAUGUCGAAUCUGUCUAAAAUCAAGUUUCAGCCUUGUCUGACU
rfam:Aureobasidium pullulans var. pullulans EXF-150 unplaced genomic scaffold scaffold_12, whole genome shotgun sequence.